AAAAAAAUGGAAAUCAGUUUGUUUAAAUGGGGAAAGAAUAAAAAAAAACAAUCUAAAGGGAAAAUUGUACCCCUAAUUCCCGUAACCCUAAUAAAAAUAAAACAAUCUCUCCGCCUCUCUCUAUCACAGCGACGAAGAAGGCGAUUGCGUCUUCUCCGGUAAAAUCAACGGCGAGUGCAGACGCCACCGGUGGAAAUUUCGGUUCCCACACUAUUGUCAUAGUACAAACACCAAACAUGAAGCCUAUCCAUCAUUUUCAAACCCGUGAGGGCUUCUACAUCAUCUUUGCAUUAUACUCUUUUAAAUCUUCUACAUCAUCUUUGCAUUAUACUCUUUUAAAACAAAAUAUAACCAUAUUAGUUGGAGAGUUGUACUGGUUAUACGCAUUUCAGUUUUACUAAUAUACAUGUUAUACUCCUUCUAGCUGUAUUAUAGGCUAUUACAAAACACAU
rnacentral:lncRNA from 1 species